GACGAACGCUGGCGGCGUGCCUAAUACAUGCAAGUAGAACGCACAGUUUAUACCGUAGCUUGCUACACCAUAGACUGUGAGUUGCGAACGGGGGAGUUACCCGUCGGUAACCUUCCUGGUAGCGUGGGAUAACUAGUGGAAACGAUAGCUAAUACCUCAUAAUAUUAAUUAUUGCAUGGUAAUUUUUGGAAGGGUGCAAUUGCAGCACGUCGAGUUGGACCUGUGGUGUAUUAGCUUGUAGGUGGGGUAUUGGCUCACCAAGGCGAUGAGAGGGAGCCGGCCUGGGAGGGUGACCGGGCACAGUGGGAUUGGGAAACGGGCCGGACGCAUACUGGGGGCAGCGGUGGGAAAUAGUGCACGAAGGGCGGAGGGCGGAUGCAGCAACGUCGCAUGGGGGAGGACGGUCGUCGGGGAGUAAAGCGUGUUCGCGUGGGACGAAGCGUGUGUGACGGUAAUGGGUAAGAAAGCACCGGCUAACUACGUG
rnacentral:rRNA from 1 species